UACGAAGGGGGCUAGCGUUGCUCGGAAUCACUGGGCGUAAAGCGCACGUAGGCGGAUCUUUAAGUCAGGGGUGAAAUCCCGAGGCUCAACCUCGGAACUGCCUUUGAUACUGGGGAUCUCGAGUCCGGAAGAGGUUGGUGGAACUCCGAGUGUAGAGGUGAAAUUCGUAGAUAUUAGGAAGAACACCAGUGGCGAAGGCGGCUCGCUGGCCCGGUACUGACGCUGAGGCGCGAAAGCGUGGGGAGCAAACAGG
rnacentral:rRNA from 1 species